GGAGAGGUGGCUCAGUGGUUAAGAGCACUUGGCUGCUCUUCNAGAGGUCCUGAGUUCAAUUCCCAGCAACCACA
rnacentral:tRNA from 1 species